CAGCAGUGGGGAUAUUGCACAAUGGGGGAACCCUGAUGCAGCCAUGCCGCGUGUAUGAAGAAGGCCUUCGGGUUGUAAAGUACUUUCAGUUGUGAGGAAGGCAGUUAAGUUAAUAGCUUGGCUGUUUGACGUUAGCAACAGAAGAAGCACCGGCUAACUCCGUGCCAGCAGCCGCGGUAAUACGGAGGGUGCGAGCGUUAAUCGGAAUUACUGGGCGUAAAGCGCAUGCAGGCGGUCUGUUAAGCAAGAUGUGAAAGCCCGGGGCUCAACCUCGGAACAGCAUUUUGAACUGGCAGACUAGAGUCUUGUAGAGGGGGGUAGAAUUUCAGGUGUAGCGGUGAAAUGCGUAGAGAUCUGAAGGAAUACCGGUGGCGAAGGCGGCCCCCUGGACAAAGACUGACGCUCAGAUGCGAAAGCGUGGGGAGCAAACAGGAUUAGAUACCCUGGUAGUCCACGCCGUAAACGAUGUCUACUUGAAGGUUGUGGCCUUGAGCCGUGGCUUUCGGAGCUAACGCGUUAAGUAGACCGCCUGGGGAGUACGGUCGCAAGAUUAAAACUCAAAUGAAUUGACGGGGGC
rnacentral:rRNA from 1 species